AUUUUACAUUUCAACUGGUACAAUUUGUGUUUCAAAAGUAUCUAAUCCUGCAUACCUAGCUUAACUUCAAAUAAGGAGGGAACUUAGGGGUGGAGGAACACUAAGGGUAGCAGUUCUGUUGCUUUUUGUUCAUCUUCAAACUACUUCAUUUAAAGAGCAUCUGGAUCGACCCCGUUUGAGAAUUCAAACAAUGGUGAAGGCAAAUAGUAGAGCUACUAGAAACAGAAAGAAGCUAGCAAGCUAGGUAAAGAACAAUGUCCAGUAUCCAGAAGGUGCGUAAUGUUUACAGAAGUUCCCACUUGACUAGAACUUAAGCAGCCUUACGAAAAUGCUGGGAUAAUAGCCUCGCAAUCUCAAGAAAACCAACCUUGUCCUUGCCAUCAAAUAUAGUUUUCAACUUGUCGUCACAAUGUAUCUCUCUCUUGUUUGUGGGAUUCUGAAGAUUCUGGGUUUUAAUGUAUUCCCAAACUUUCUUGACCGCAUCAGCGCGGGAGGAUUCUUUAGUACCUAAGAAGCUUCCUAGUGCAGUCGAAACUGGUUGAGGCUUCAGUAUUCCAGUAGGGCGACCUCUGGCUUUGGUCACAGUGGCUGUUGCUGCCGCUGUGGUUUCAGUUGCUGCGGAAGUUUUAGCAGCAGCCAUUAAAGCUCGACAGCAGUUACCGAAAAUCCGAGUCGAUGACGCCAUUGAUUACUUUGAAGUUUUCGUAAAACCCUACGGCUGAUCAAAGAGGAAAAUAGGGUUUUGGAAAGAAGGUCAAAGUCGUAAUUCG
rnacentral:misc_RNA from 1 species